rnacentral:rRNA from 1 species
UACGGGGGGGGCAAGCGUUGUUCGGAAUUACUGGGCGUAAAGGGCUCGUAGGCGGCCAACUAAGUCGGAUGUGAAAUCCCCAGGCUCAACUUGGGAACUGCAUCCGAUACUGGAUGGCUUGAAUCCGGGAGAGGGAUGCAGAAUUCCAGGUGUAGCGGUGAAAUGCGCAGAUAUCGGGAGGAACACCAAUGGCGAAGGCAGCUCGCUGGGACGGUACUGACGCUGAGACGCGAAAGCGUGGGGAGCAAACAGG